rnacentral:rRNA from 1 species
UACAGAGGGUGCGAGCGUUACUCGGAAUUACUGGGCGUAAAGCGCACGUAGGCGGCUUUGCAAGUCGGGUGUGAAAUCCCCGGGGUCAACCUGGGAACUGCAUCCGAGACUGCUUUGCUCGAGUAUGGGAGAGGGAAGUGGAAUUUCCGGUGUAGCGGUGAAAUGCGUAGAUAUCGGAAGGAACAUCAGUGGCGAAGGCGACUUCCUGGACCAAUACUGACGCUCAGGUGCGAAAGCGUGGGGAGCAAACAGG